CAAAUUCUCAGCAGCUUGAUGUGUUGUGUUGUCAGUCUGAAGCUCUCUGGUGGUGGCCGUGAGGCCACAUGAGCCCCACUCAGGAGUAUGUUGUGUAAGUCCAGCCUCCGAGCUUAGCCUGUGGCAAGGUGUCCUGCUUCUUGGGAAGAGGUCUGUGGUCAGGAAGAGGAUUUAUCGAUACUCAUGGCCAUGCAGCAAUGAGCAGCAUGGUAUUAAACUGGUACAGUAGAUCAUGUCAGUCCAGGUCAAAGCUUUGAACGAAAUGCUUGGGUAUCUCUGUAUGGCUGUUCAGAGAUGGGCUCAUAGUCUGUAACUCCUUCCUACAGAAUAACACCUCCUACCCAAACCAGCCCCUCUCUGAGACCUGCAUUACUGACAUCAAUGACUAGAAAUAUUCGUCAUCAGAAGAGUGGGACCAUGAUUCAGAUUUUUUACUCAUUAGUUGAGGAUCUGGUUGCCAACUGUUGGGAACCUUAUCAGCUUUCUCUCUCACUCAUCCAGCCCACUUGUGUCAAAAUGAAGGCUUUAAUAGGGUGUUUUGCAUUAAAAUGGAGAUAAACAGGGUGUUUGCUGGAAGCAGAACAAGGCAGAAUAAGCCAGAUCUUCAGCUGAUAUACAUUUGUCACAGCUCUAUAAAGAUAAUGAAGCUAGCACUAAUUUACAUUAGCUAAGAACCGGAGCUGCUGUAUUUCAUACAGACUCCUCUGCAGAUCUUCUUCCUGCAGAUAAGCAGAGACACUGCUGACAACAUGCAGUCCUGCUUCCAGCACAUGGCUUGGAAACCGAACAAACUGCACUCUGAAGCAUGACAAAGGGGAUGAAAUGUACGGUGUGAAGAUGACACAGAGGUCCAGCAGCUGGAGCGUGAGACCUGUGAGUUGUCCCCCCAGGCCAGGUCUGCAGUCAAUGCCUCUGUCUCCUUCUAUUCAUGCAACAUGCUUGGAAAUGCAUUUGUCAUGGUAAAGAGAGAGCAGUGGUACCUGAAGAUUCUUUUAACCUAUGGACUUAAUGGACCUAUACUGAAUUCUGCUUAUGGCACAUAUUGUAAUGCUUCUUUUGGAUGGAGCCACCAUAUUCUCUUACAUGGAGCUGAAAGUGAUCAUAAGCAGCAAGAAGAAGACCUUGUACAGGAUUCAGAGUGAAAUAGCGUAUUACUAAUUCAGUUGUCAUACUCAUUUACUGCAUUACAGCUGUCAGUGAAAGGCAGUCAGAAGUUCAUGCUAUAUGCUAUGUUUGUAAAUGGUGAUGUUAUCUCAUUAUUUUCUGGCCUGUCUGCAAUUAACCUUUUAUUUUGAAGGUGGUGAAAAUGUGCAGUAAUAGUAUAAAACAUUUCAAACAUAUUUCAAAGUACAUCUUUGUCAUUCAGUCAUUCAUGAGGGAAACAAAUUCUUCCGAACUGAUUUGUAUGCAUGCUGGUCAUGAAUAAUUCUUAUCCUUAACAUCAUGUAUUUGAAACAAGGAAUAAACUUCAUUAAUGGAUUGUUUGUGUGUCA
rnacentral:lncRNA from 1 species